CUUUUAUCAGAUAUAUUGUUGUGUAAUUACAAUUAUUGAAGUGAACAUUUAAGAUAACAAAAAAUGCUAUCAUAUAUAUAUUGGAAGACAUGCUAUAGGGAGUUCCAUCUGAUUUUGGUAAUUAAAAAUAUUAACGAAUAGCAAACAUCUACUUUUAUGUGUUGCUCCAAAAUAUGAAUAUAAUGAGAAAAAUAAAUACAGAAAGAAAAAUUAAGAGAAGAAAAUGAAAAAAAAAAAAGAUUGAGAUAAAGAAAUACAACGAGAAGGAGAAGUUUCUUGCCCUUUAAAUGCGCUCACACAAGGAGUUUCAUACAAUUUUAUUUACACCAAAAUGUGUCUUAUAAAACUAAAAACAAUAUUACGUACGCAAAGUAUUCCAAAAACAAUAUAAGAUUCAAAGUACAAACAACUUAACAUGAAUACUUAAGAUAUGUAAACAAGUUUAUGUUUUGAUUAGCUCAAUCUCAGACAGAGCCCAACAAAUCAAAAUGUUGCUAAAGAAAAUGGCAUUUAAUUCUUCAGGGGAAUAUACAACUAAACAACAGACAUAUAAAGCACCAAAGGAUGAACAUGCAGUGCAAGAAUCAUGCAAUUAACACAAUCUCGUAACCUUCCAGUGCACGUUUGUUUCAUCACGUGUUUCACUCGCACUUGCGCUGUUCGAUUGUAGAAGUUCUAACUAAAUGCCUCGUGGUUAAUAUGGCUGCAUACAAAAAAAAAAAAACUAUCGGCGAAUUAGAGUACGGGAAGACAAUACUUCAAAAGCAGUAUAUUUCUGAAGAUUGUGAUGAGAUAAGGAUUUUAAAAAAUCCUAUGAAAGAAAACGAUAUCAAAUAGGACUGUUGCACAGUUUUCACUCGUAAUGCAGAACCACGCCAGCUAUAUCAGAUUUGUUUUGAAAGUUUUACAUAUCCCAAGAGAUUUCAGAAGAUUUAUUAUAAGG